rnacentral:rRNA from 1 species
CCAGCAGCCGCGGUAAUUCCAGCUCCAAUAGCGUAUAUUAAAGUUGUUGCAGUUACAAAGCUCGUAGUUGGAUUUCUGGCGGGAGCAGCCAGUCCUGCCUCUUGCGAGGUCGUGAACUAGCGCUGUAUCCGGCCAUCCUUGUGGAGAACGUUUCUGGCAUUAAGUUGUUGGUCUCGGGAUCUGCAUCGUUUACUGUGAAAAAAUUAGAGUGUUUAAAGCAGGCAUUUGCUUGAAUACAUUAGCAUGGAAUAAUAAGAUAGGACUUUGGUACUAUUUUGUUGGUUUGCGCACCUGGGUAAUGAUUAAUAGAGACAGGCGGGGCUAUUCGUAUUGGGUUGUCAGAGGUGAAAUUCUUGGAUUUCUGCAAGACGAACUACUGCGAAAGCAUUUAGCAAGGAUGUUUUCAUUAAUCAAGAACGAAAGU